GGUUAAGUGACUAAGCGUACACGGUGGAUGCCUAGGCAGUCAGAGGCGAUGAAGGGCGUGCUAAUCUGCGAUAAGCGUCGGUAAGGUGAUAUGAACCGCAAUAACCGACGAUACCCGAAUGGGGAAACCCGGUGCACUUUGGUGCAUCAUUGCAACAUGAAUACAUAGUGUUGCAAGGCGAACCUGGGGAACUGAAACAUCUAAGUACCCAGAGGAAAAGAAAUCAACCGAGAUUCCCCCAGUAGCGGCGAGCGAACGGGGAACAGCCCAGAACCUGAAUCAGUUUGUGCAUUAGUGGAAGCGUCUGGAAAGUCGCAGGGUACAGGGUGAUACUCCCGUACACAAAAAUGCACUUGCUGUGAGUUCGAUGAGUAGGGCGGGACACGUGACAUCCUGUCUGAAUAUGGGGGGACCAUCCUCCAAGGCUAAAUACUCCUGACUGACCGAUAGUGAACCAGUACCGUGAGGGAAAGGCGAAAAGAACCCCGGCGAGGGGAGUGAAACAGAACCUGAAACCGUGUACGUACAAGCAGUGGGAGCACCUUCGUGGUGUGACUGCGUACCUUUUGUAUAAUGGGUCAGCGACUUAUAUUCUGUAGCAAGGUUAACCGUAUAGGGGAGCCGAAGGGAAACCGAGUCUUAACUGGGCGUUAAGUUGCAGGGUAUAGACCCGAAACCCGGUGAUCUAGCCAUGGGCAGGUUGAAGGUUGGGUAACACUAACUGGAGGACCGAACCGACUAAUGUUGAAAAAUUAGCGGAUGACUUGUGGCUGGGGGUGAAAGGCCAAUCAAACCGGGAGAUAGCUGGUUCUCCCCGAAAGCUAUUUAGGUAGCGCCUCGUGAACUCAUCUUCGGGGGUAGAGCACUGUUUCGGCUAGGGGGCCAUCCCGGCUUACCAACCCGAUGCAAACUGCGAAUACCGAAGAAUGUUAUCACGGGAGACACACGGCGGGUGCUAACGUCCGUCGUGAAGAGGGAAACAACCCAGACCGCCAGCUAAGGUCCCAAAGUCAUGGUUAAGUGGGAAACGAUGUGGGAAGGCACAGACAGCCAGGAUGUUGGCUUAGAAGCAGCCAUCAUUUAAAGAAAGCGUAAUAGCUCACUGGUCGAGUCGGCCUGCGCGGAAGAUGUAACGGGGCUAAACCAUGCACCGAAGCUGCGGCAGCGACGCUUAGGCGUUGUUGGGUAGGGGAGCGUUCUGUAAGCCGUCGAAGGUGGCCUGUGAGGGCUGCUGGAGGUAUCAGAAGUGCGAAUGCUGACAUAAGUAACGAUAAAGCGGGUGAAAAGCCCGCUCGCCGGAAGACCAAGGGUUCCUGUCCAACGUUAAUCGGGGCAGGGUGAGUCGACCCCUAAGGCGAGGCCGAAAGGCGUAGUCGAUGGGAAACAGGUUAAUAUUCCUGUACUCGGUGUUACUGCGAAGGGGGGACGGAGAAGGCUAUGUUAGCCGGGCGACGGUUGUCCCGGUUUAAGCAUGUAGGCGGAGAGUUUAGGUAAAUCCGGACUCUUUUUAACGCUGAGGUGUGAUGACGAGGCACUACGGUGCUGAAGUAACAAAUGCCCUGCUUCCAGGAAAAGCCUCUAAGCAUCAGGUAACACGGAAUCGUACCCCAAACCGACACAGGUGGUCAGGUAGAGAAUACCAAGGCGCUUGAGAGAACUCGGGUGAAGGAACUAGGCAAAAUGGUGCCGUAACUUCGGGAGAAGGCACGCUGGCGCGUAGGUGAAGGGACUUGCUCCCGGAGCUGAAGCCAGUCGAAGAUACCAGCUGGCUGCAACUGUUUAUUAAAAACACAGCACUGUGCAAACACGAAAGUGGACGUAUACGGUGUGACGCCUGCCCGGUGCCGGAAGGUUAAUUGAUGGGGUUAUCCGCAAGGAGAAGCUCUUGAUCGAAGCCCCGGUAAACGGCGGCCGUAACUAUAACGGUCCUAAGGUAGCGAAAUUCCUUGUCGGGUAAGUUCCGACCUGCACGAAUGGCGUAAUGAUGGCCAGGCUGUCUCCACCCGAGACUCAGUGAAAUUGAACUCGCUGUGAAGAUGCAGUGUACCCGCGGCAAGACGGAAAGACCCCGUGAACCUUUACUAUAGCUUGACACUGAAUAUUGAACCUUGAUGUGUAGGAUAGGUGGGAGGCUUUGAAGCGUGGACGCCAGUCUGCGUGGAGCCAACCUUGAAAUACCACCCUUUAACGUUUGAUGUUCUAACCUGGCGCCGUGAUCCGGCGUGGGGACAGUGUCUGGUGGGUAGUUUGACUGGGGCGGUCUCCUCCUAAAGAGUAACGGAGGAGCACGAAGGUUAGCUAAUCACGGUCGGACAUCGUGAGGUUAGUGCAAUGGCAUAAGCUAGCUUGACUGCGAGAGUGACGGCUCGAGCAGGUGCGAAAGCAGGUCAUAGUGAUCCGGUGGUUCUGAAUGGAAGGGCCAUCGCUCAACGGAUAAAAGGUACUCCGGGGAUAACAGGCUGAUACCGCCCAAGAGUUCAUAUCGACGGCGGUGUUUGGCACCUCGAUGUCGGCUCAUCACAUCCUGGGGCUGAAGUAGGUCCCAAGGGUACGGCUGUUCGCCGUUUAAAGUGGUACGCGAGCUGGGUUUAGAACGUCGUGAGACAGUUCGGUCCCUAUCUGCCGUGGGCGCUGGAAGAUUGAGAGGGGUUGCUCCUAGUACGAGAGGACCGGAGUGAACGCACCACUGGUGUUCGGGUUGUCAUGCCAAUGGCAUUGCCCGGUAGCUAAGUGCGGAAAAGAUAAGCGCUGAAAGCAUCUAAGCGCGAAACUUGCCUCGAGAUGAAUCUUCCCUGGGCCUUUAAGGCCCCUGAAGGGACGUUGAAGACUACGACGUUGAUAGGCCGGGUGUGUAAGCGCAGCGAUGCGUUGAGCUAACCGGUACUAAUGACCCGUGAGGCUUAACCUU
rfam:Erwinia billingiae strain Eb661 complete chromosome.